UAGUAACUUAUUUUACUCUACUACUUUUCUGUGUUGAGGCUCCAGCAGGGCCCAUAUCUGAGGGAGAGGGCAGUGAAGAGAAAGGAGCCCCUCAGCCACAUCCUCGGCGCCAGCGCCCACGCAGAAGACCUGUUCAGCCACAAGGCGAGGUGAGGUCAUUUAAAUGCAUUUUAACCAAAGGUCUAGCAUGCCUUAGAUUAAUAGAAGUAUUUUUGAAACGUUGUUAGUAAAUUGAGAAUCUUGUAGGCCCUGGUGACAUUUCACAGAGUACAUGAGUUACAUUGUGUGUUUAAUGUGAACUUUAAAUAUUGAGUAUGAUAAGCCUUUAAAUGGCUCUUGUUGGUUUUUUUGGAAUUUUUUUUUUGUUUUUUUUUUUUUUGUUUUUUUAAGUUGUCUACUACAGUCUGGUCAGUGAACAGUUUUUUUGUCUCUGCUUUAGGGAGAAGCUGGAGAGAAGAAUGAAGAAGUAGAUGGUGCCCAGCAGAGGCCGCCACCACGCAGGUUCAGACCUCGAUUUCGAAGGCCAUUACGUCCUCGCCCAACCCCUGGGGAGGAUCAACAGACAGUUGUCCCUGCAGAAGAGCAAGAGUCGCCCCCUAAAGGGAGCCAGACCAAUAGGGAGCAGACUGAGGGGCAGCCCCGGAAACCCCGCAGACAGUUCAGUCGGCGCAGACAGACGAAAUCUCUUAGCAUUAUUGGUAAGGAAAAGUUUACAUAUAUUAUUAUAUAUUUUAUAUUGUAUUUUUUAUAUUUCUAUAUUUUUUAUUUUGAUGGAUGAAUCAUGUUCCCAAGAUAUUUCCUACCUUUAUUCCAUAUAUUCCAUGGUACUGAAUAAUUCUAACACUUUUCUACAUUUUCU
rnacentral:lncRNA from 1 species